rnacentral:rRNA from 1 species
UGAGGAAUAUUGGUCAAUGGGCGGAAGCCUGAACCAGCCAAGUAGCGUGAAGGAUGACUGCCCUAUGGGUUGUAAACUUCUUUUAUAGGGGAAUAAAAUGAGCCACGUGUGGCUUUUUGUAUGUACCCUAUGAAUAAGGAUCGGCUAACUCCGUGCCAGCAGCCGCGGUAAUACGGAGGAUCCGAGCGUUAUCCGGAUUUAUUGGGUUUAAAGGGAGCGUAGGUGGACAUGUAAGUCAGUUGUGAAAGUUUGCGGCUCAACCGUAAAAUUGCAGUUGAUACUGUGUGUCUUGAGUACAGUAGAGGUGGGCGGAAUUCGUGGUGUAGCGGUGAAAUGCUUAGAUAUCACGAAGAACUCCGAUUGCGAAGGCAGCUCACUGGACUGUUACUGACACUGAGGCUCGAAAGUGUGGGUAUCAAACAGGAUUAGAUACCCUGGUAGUCCACACAGUAAACGAUGAAUACUCGCUGUUUGCGAUAUACAGCAAGCGGCCAAGCGAAAGCAUUAAGUAUUCCACCUGGGGAGUACGCCGGCAACGGUGAAACUCAAAGGAAUUGACGGGGGCCCGCACAAGCGGAGGAACAUGUGGUUUAAUUCGAUGAUACGCGAGGAACCUUACCCGGGCUUAAAUUGCAUUUGAAUGUUGGGGAAACCCAACAGCCGUAAGGCAAAUGUGAAGGUGCUGCAUGGUUGUCGUCAGCUCGUGCCGUGAGGUGUCGGCUUAAGUGCCAUAACGAGCGCAACCCUUAUCUUUAGUUACUAACAGGUUAUGCUGAGGACUCUAGAGAGACUGCCGUCGUAAGAUGUGAGGAAGGUGGGGAUGACGUCAAAUCAGCACGGCCCUUACGUCCGGGGCUACACACGUGUUACAAUGGGGGGUACAGAAGGCAGCUACCUGGUGACAGGAUGCUAAUCCCAAAAGCCUCUCUCAGUUCGGAUCGAAGUCUGCAACCCGACUUCGUGAAGCUGGAUUCGCUAGUAAUCGCGCAUCAGCCACGGCGCGGUGAAUACGUUCCC